AACAAAAGCUGAAUCAGUAUCUAGAGAGUUGCACAGCUUUUUCCUCUCUGCAUCCAGGAUCAAAAGCCAUUGAUGUUCUUGAGGAACUUUCUAUUUGACGUCAAAGGGCUUUGCAUCCAAACUAAUUGUAGGAUGUGAUAAAUCCCUGUAGCAACUCUGAUAUGGACUUUUAGCCCAUUUUGCAGCUUCAGUCAUGUGUGUGAGUGUUCAGGGCUCUUGCACUUCAGUGGGCAUACUUGUCUUGCAUACGGUUUAACCUUUUUACUAAUGUGAGUGAGCACCUUAAUUUCAUGUAUUUGGCUUCCAAGGCAGCCAGCCUGUAAGACUCCAGCCCUGGGAGCUGCCAGCUCACAGAUUCAGCUAUGAGUUUUACUUUAAAAUAUAGAUAUAGGGUUCUUUAAUACCUUGAGCUAAUGUCAAGAGAAUAAGCCAUGGGCUUGUUCCCAAAAGGUUUCUUUAUUAAUUUCGGAGAGAAAAUAGGGAAACUUGGCCAAGGUUCAAAAAGGGCACUAGACAAGCUAGACAAAAUGUUCCACCACAGUACCGACUCAGUGCAUAUACUAUUAAUCCACAACACUUAAUUUAAGAUCCAAUCCCUCCAGCUCCAAACCACCCAAAACAUCAAGAUAGGAGUAAAGAAAGAGAAGCAGAGGGAGCAAAAAGAGAGAAGGAGAAAGGGGGAGAGAGAGAUUAUAUACCUACCACUGGAACCUUGUAGAAGACUAGCUCUCACACGUCCAAGUGGCAGGGCCGUGACACGAGGUGAACACAUGCCUGUGGUUUUAUCUGCUUUGGUUCCUAUGGCCAACCCCUUCAGGUGGGGUCUCUGACCCAACAGCCACUCUAGAGGUUCCAGGCCAGGGUGAGGAGCACUUUUCUCACUGUCCCUGCCAAUCUGAGGCUGGCUUAGGGGCUGCAGGAGGUGGGGUGUGUUGUAGUUUUCCCAGGCUGUUUGUGACUGACAGCUACUUCAGGGCUUCCCUAUGUGGGUUCCUGGGACCUGCCAUGAGGGAUAUCAUGCCACCUCACCUCCUGGAGAUUCAACUCAUCCCUUCCCCCUCCACACAGACACAAACGCACACACACUCCCCACAAGGUGGUUCUGACCCAAUAAUCACUCAUCUGAGAUCUAACACCAUCUUUGCCUGGAACAACCUGAGCAUCAUGGCUAGACCUUUCCAGCUCUUGGGCUGCUGGGUCAUGGGGUGAAAUCCAGCCUGCCACGACUGUGGUGCUGGCUGCUGGCAGGGAGUAUCAAAUCACAGCUGACAGUGCUGCUGUGUGUGGGUGUCUGUCCAGAGAGAGUGGUGUGGCUCUGCUUUUGCUCCUGUCCUUCCCGUGACAGGCUGUAAUUACAGCCAUCACUUAGGUCUUCAAGAUUGUUGGUGUCAGUUAUCCUUGUGCUGCUUUUAUUCUCUCAUCCUCAAGCAGUCCAGGUCGUGCCCUCCCCACCAAAAGUGCCUGCACAUGUGCCUGCUCAGUGCUGUUACUGUGCAACACAGGUUUUGUAGCAGUGAUAGAAUUUAAAGAAAAUAAUAGGUAGCAACCUAUGCACAACUUCUUCAGGAAUAGACCUGUUUUAAAAAUGCAAUCCUGGGCUCUUAAAGGCUAUCAUUUAAAAAAUAAAAAAAAAAAAAAAAAGAAGGACAAAGCCGAACCUGUCAUAUAGAAGGCCUGUAGUGUAGUAAUAGUAUUAUAUAUUAUUAGUAUUGUGUAUAUUGCUGUCAGUGUUUAAAUAUUUUUUACAUCCACACAUUCAAUAUCACUUUUUAAAGCUUCCCUCUAGUACAGAAAGCAAAUUAAUUCCAGCUUUUUACACCUCUCUGGCAAAGGCUAUAAAUCACUUUCUCUUUGGGGACAAAUAUGUAAUCUCCUAUAUAAUCUCUGACCUUAAUAAGAAGACAAAAUAAUGAAAAGCAAUUUCUCUUGUUAUAAAGCUGUGCAUACAUAACCAGUUUUAGAGAACCUGGUGACUCUUGAUAGGAGUAUCUGAAGAAAAGCAGAAUUCUCAGGGAGACAAUGAAUUUCUAUUACUAGGCACAAGAGAGAGCUGCUUUGAAUGUUUUCAGAGAUAAAUUAGUAGGUUGUGGAAUUAGUAUAUUUGGAGUCCUGUGCAUUUCUCUGCCAGUUACUGGUUUCCUAAGAAGAAAAAGUGUUUCUGUACUAUACUGAUGGCUAAGUCAUGGUAAUCCAUACUUUACUUCUGUCUAGGAAACCUCCCUCAAAUAAGACAUGGAAGAGGAGAAACCUAAUCAUACAUUAAAGGAUCUGAGGAAUGUCUAAUUCCAUAUUACUGUGGUCCAUGUCCAAAAUGCAGAGCUGCAAUAAUUCAAGGUGUCUCCUCCCAGCCCUUGGCAGCACACAGUUCAUUCUCCCUGCUGGAAGGUGAGGACAGGGCUGAAGCUGCCCUUCUUCCUCUCUCAAGCCAUCCGCUUCCCCCAGAGUGCGCUCUAGCAGAGGUUGUGCAGACAGGAGGGACCUGGCCGUCCUCAGGCUUGUGAAUGUCCUCUGCAUCCAUCUAUUCCAUCUACUGUUUGAAAUUAUAAAGACUUUCUGCUCUCAAAUUAUCUAUUUUAUACUUAAGUGGUUCUAAUUUUUUUGGCAAGAAUAACUGUAAUUGCAAUGCUUUUCUUGGUUUCAUCUACAGUAUCAUUAUCCAGAGAAAAAGACUGGAUUCAGCAAACUGAAGUUCCUUUUCCACUUGCAAGAACAGACUUGAAAGUUUUCUUGCGUUACAUGGAGAACCCACAAACAACUUCAACAAAGCAAAAUAACUGAGCUACCCCAGAUGAAAGAGAAGUAAGUGCAACCAGGCAGGUACAGUUCUUACAGGCAAAGCCCUUUUCUGGGAGCACUGCUUCUAUCAAUAUGGCUGGGAAAGAGAGAAGCAGAUGACAGUUGAGAAGCAAAAGCUUCAGGGGACUAUUUAAAGCAGCUGAAUGUCUUCAGAUGGAAUACAUCUGGGAGUACUGAAGGAGUUUGCUGAAAUGAUGGUGAGACUAAUCUAAGAAAAUUCGUGUUGAUUAGAGGAGGUUCCUGCUGACUGGAAAAAGCCAACAUUGCAUCCUUUUUUGAGACAGGAGGAGGAGGAAGUGGAGAAUUAGUGUGUUCUCUCUGUAAAUCUGACAGAGUCUAGGCUGGAUGAGUAAAAAAUUUUCACCUCAGAUAGUAGUCCAGUGUUUUCUGUUGAAAUGGGGUGUUGAGAAACUGGAAAGAGACAAAGAGGAAUACCACUGACCAUAUACAUAGAGCAUAUAGAAAUGUCUAUUCCUGGUUGCUUUGAAGACUGAGCUAUGAAUACAGUUCAGCUGAUGUAGUUGGCAUAGUUUUGCUUGGAGCAGUACAAUGGACUAGAUGACCUACAGAGGCUUUUCCCUCCAAAAUUUCUAAAGUUCUGUGAUCACCACAAUAAAGAGAAAAAAACUGGUAGUGUAAUUAUAUAUGGGCUGGCAGAACAGCUUACACUCGUGUUUUAAAACCUUCUACCAUGUAGGUUUGAUAUCUGACUUAAUAUAUGUGUUCUGAUGUAUUUUUCAUAGAGAGAUAGUAUUUUCACCGAGGACACCCACCUCCAAUAAAUAGCACUUGAAACUCUCUCAC